rnacentral:rRNA from 1 species
GACGAACGCUGGCGGCGUGCUUAACACAUGCAAGUGGAGCGACGAACCAGGCUUCGGCCUGGGGCAGAGCCGCGAACGGGUGAGUAACACGUGGGUAACCUGCCCUGAUGACUGGGACAACCCGGGGAAACCCGGGCUAAUACCGGAUGUGCUGCUCUCACAUCAGUGAGAGUAGGAAAGGAAGCUUCGGCCUCCGCAUCAGGAUGGGCCCGCGGCCCAUUAGCUUGUUGGUGAGGUAACGGCUCACCAAGGCUUCGAUGGGUAGCUGGUCUGAGAGGACGAUCAGCCACACUGGGACUGAGACACGGCCCAGACUCCUACGGGAGGCAGCAGUGGGGAAUAUUGCGCAAUGGCCGCAAGGCUGACGCAGCGACGCCGCGUGUGGGAGGA